rnacentral:lncRNA from 1 species
CUGUAGUCAAUUUAAACAUAAGGGGAAAGAGCCACCAGACCAAAGGUCAGAUUUAGAGGAGACAACUAAGGAAGAAAUGAAGCUGGAAAACAUUGUAGCUACAAAAUAAGCAAAGAAUCCAGGGGCAUCCAAGUGGCACAGUGGAUUAAAGUGCUAGUCUUGGAAGUUCAAAUAUGGCAUCAGACACAUCCUAGCUGUGUGACCCUGGCAAGUCACUUCACCUCGUUUGCCUCGACCUUGUCUUUCCUUAGAAUUAUUACUAAUUCAGGAGGUAAGGAUUUAAAAAAAUUUAAAAAGAAUCUAGAAUCCAGGAGAAUAGACAGUCAAGAAACAGCCAACUGGACUAGGAUCUGGGGGAAAGGACCAGGAAACCAAGAAAAGCAAGCCCUUGAUUCUAUCAGUAUGGGAAUCUUCCAGCAUGGAAAUUCCCUCUGCUAA